rnacentral:rRNA from 1 species
AAAGAUUAAGCCAUGCAUGUCUAAGUAUAAGCAAUCUAUACAGUGAAACUGCGAAUGGCUCAUUAAAUCAGUUAUCGUUUAUUUGAUAGUACCUUACUACUUGGAUAACCGUGGUAAUUCUAGAGCUAAUACAUGCUAAAAAUCCCGACCUCUGGAAGGGAUGUAUUUAUUAGAUAAAAAACCAAUGCCUUCGGGCUCCUUGGUGAUUCAUGAUAACUUUACGAAUCGCAUGGCCCUGCGCCGGCGAUGGUUCAUUCAAAUUUCUGCCCUAUCAACUUUCGAUGGUAGGAUAGUGGCCUACCAUGGUAU